AGGAGAUCUUACUGCGGAUGCUGUGUUUCUUUUCGUACCUACUACAACAGUUCAGUCUACGUUACCGGUUAGUGGUGUCUGUAGAACAUUCACCAAAGCAGACAACAUGGCGAUAGCAAUCCCCACAGAGCAGCACGUCGUGUCGGACAAGGCGGAGUGUGUUUUACAUUGUAACAGGCGACCAUGGUGCUCACAAUUUGCUGUCCAAUCAGAGGCGGGGGGUGGCAUCGUGUGCACUCUAGGGACGGUUUCGUCGAAUACCGGGAGUCAUACCAGAUCCGUUCUCUACAGUCUGUUAUGACAGUGCUAUUUAUCCCAUAACUACGCUUGUUCCACAACUGAUAUGGCACGUGAUAAAAUAUGUAGCAGUGUGUUAUUGUUUUUGUUUACACACCGCGGUGUGUUACCACUUUCUAAUUUAGCCUCCAAUUGGUCAUGUGUGACCCCCAACAAAUCUGAUUCGCUAAUUAAAUAACUUCUGGCCUUUGACCUUGCA